AGUCCAUGAUGUUGACAAAGUCUCAUCAUAUCCUUAUAACUUUCCCAUGCUUCGAAAAGUAACUCUCCAUUUUUCUGUUUGAAUUUGUUGAUUUGGCUUCUUAGCAU